CCGAGAUACAGAAACCUAGAAUAGGAAGGGCUGACUAAUUCUUCCAGCAGGCGGACUUGGAGCUUGAGCUAGAGGUUAUGUGUGGUAGACUUACUAUCUCCUGCAUCUGUGUGUUUUCCCCUGGCAAAGAGGGAGGCAUCUUAGUACCUUCCUCUUCAGGUGAUUGUGAGGCAUAAACAUGGUCCAGUGGUUAGGUCCAUGCUUGGCACAUAGCAAGCCUUCAGUAAAUGUUGGCUUCUGUUCUCUGCAGAACUGAUACAUCCAGACAUACCACGAGGAAAAAACAGAAACAAAAGUGAAGAACUUGGAAGCCCUUUUGUUCUGCAGUGCGUGUGAAUACCAGGCCCCUUGUUGUCCUCUGGGACCACAAGCUGGGAAAUAAAGUACCUAGUGGGGCUCUGCUGGCUCCCAGCUCUGAUGGAAGCAAACCUCACAAGAAAGACACCUUCAGAGGCUGUGGCAGGUUUCUCUCAGGAGAUGAGAAUCACACUGAGGAAAAGUAACCCAGACUCUUGGGAACCCCUGAGCAGUCCGGAAUUGAUCUGUAAGCUCCACGUGUUCCAGCGUCAUAAGAAUAGGAAAAUGAGUGAGACACAAGGUGAAGAGACAACAGCCAAGGAGGAGAAAGCGAUGUGCUUUCAGUCUGCCUGAAUGGUAGUGAGCCUCGCUUGAAUGGCAGGAGCUGGUCAGGAUGGGAGGUGACGUUUUUGAGGCUACGGCAGAAUGGCUGUUCGUCCUUCUAAUUCAAGACAUCUCUGAAACACCUUCCCAUUCAGUCUACAUAUUUCCAGGCCCAGCUCCUUGGAUCUCAUGUCUUCCCUGAAUGUGUUCUGUUGUCCACUUGCAACCCGCAUAACUGAUGGAAUCACGUCCUACAGAGCACUGCGUGGGAUCUAAAGGUCUCUUUAAGGUUGGGACGAUGCUGCAGGAAUCAAUAAAAGCUGCACUCACCUGACUAGACCGUGUGCAGCCCUGAGGAAUGUGCUUCUCUUGUGCUGUGUCUGUGACAGCUCUUUGAGAUGGGUAUUCAUUCCAUCCCAUUUAAAGAUGAGCUAACUGAGGGUCAGGUAUGUUGCACACAGCUAGUUUCUAGCAGAGUGGGGACUGGAGGCCUGGCAGGCAAGAUGCCCUCCCAUCUAAGGCCCAGGAACUAAGCUACCCUGCUCUCUUUGCAGCCCCUCAGACUUUAAGUGAUGCAUGGUUAAUUCAGCCUGCAGCAGCUGAAUUAAUAUUAGUGGUCCCGAG
rnacentral:lncRNA from 1 species